UGGCUCAGGACGAACGCUGGCGGCGUGCUUAACACAUGCAAGUCGAACGGUGAUGCCCAGCUUGCUGGGCGGAUCAGUGGCGAACGGGUGAGUAACACGUGAGUAACCUGCCCCAGACUCCGGGAUAAGCCUUGGAAACGAGGUCUAAUACUGGAUACGAGACGCCCCUGCAUGGGGAGUGUCUGGAAAGAUUUAUCGGUCUGGGAUGGACUCGCGGCCUAUCAGCUUGUUGGUGGGGUAAUGGCCUACCAAGGCGACGACGGGUAGCCGGCCUGAGAGGGCGACCGGCCACACUGGGACUGAGACACGGCCCAGACUCCUACGGGAGGCAGCAGUGGGGAAUAUUGCACAAUGGGCGAAAGCCUGAUGCAGCGACGCCGCGUGAGGGAUGAAGGCCUUCGGGUUGUAAACCUCUUUCAGCAGGGAAGAAGCGCAAGUGACGGUACCUGCAGAAGAAGCGCCGGCUAACUACGUGCCAGCAGCCGCGGUAAUACGUAGGGCGCAAGCGUUGUCCGGAAUUAUUGGGCGUAAAGAGCUCGUAGGCGGUUUGUCGCGUCUGGUGUGAAAACUCAAGGCUCAACCUUGAGCUUGCAUCGGGUACGGGCAGACUAGAGUGCGGUAGGGGUGACUGGAAUUCCUGGUGUAGCGGUGGAAUGCGCAGAUAUCAGGAGGAACACCGAUGGCGAAGGCAGGUCACUGGGCCGCAACUGACGCUGAGGAGCGAAAGCAUGGGGAGCGAACAGGAUUAGAUACCCUGGUAGUCCAUGCCGUAAACGUUGGGCACUAGGUGUGGGGCUCAUUCCACGAGUUCCGUGCCGCAGCAAACGCAUUAAGUGCACCGCCUGGG
rnacentral:rRNA from 1 species